CGGGGCGUGGCGCAGUCUGGUAGCGCACUUGACUGGGGGUCAAGUGGUCGGAGGUUCAAAUCCUCUCGCCCCGACCA
rnacentral:tRNA from 2 species